rnacentral:misc_RNA from 1 species
AAAUAACAAAUUAUCACAAUCGUUGGUUGUGGAAUUGGGCCCUUAUUUCGAACAGACUUAUGGCCUUAAAUUUACGCCAUGUGCUUAAUUCGAACCAAACGGAGCAAUUAAACAUUCUCUCGUUAGACGGAUUACUCACAAGCAUUACGAUUUUUUGGACGACGAAAAGCACUCUCGCGAGCGCGAAGCCCAAGAUCGUAAAUUUAAUUGAC